rnacentral:lncRNA from 1 species
AGUUACUGCCACCCUCUCCCAGGUCUAGAGAGGGGUACCCACGGUGGAGGGAGGUGGGAGGCCGAGACGGCCCCGGGGGUCGGCGGAGACCCAGCGGGAGCAGGGGGAAAUCGGAAGAGCUGGGGGCAUGGAGCGGGCGAGUUUGGAGCGGAAUGAGCCGGGAGCCCUACGUUGUGGAAGGAAGACAACAGUAUAGGACCAUCAGCAGGACCGGACAGAGAGGGCCCUGGCUGUCCUGGAACUUGUAGACCAGGCUGGCCUUGAACUCAGAAAUCCGCCUGCCUCUGACUCCCGAGUGCUGAGAUUAAAGGUGUGCACCACCACACCCGACAAGGAAGCCUGUUUUAAGAAGUGAUUCCAUGGAGGAGUUCUGCGGCGGCUCAGGGCUUGACUAAACAGUGGACCUCAGGGUCCCAUUUCUCUCAGUAGACAAGAGAGGCUAAACCAGGCUGCAGGUGACAGGAAGAAUUGAAUAAACUGAAAGCAAAGGGCAGCCUUCUAAUUACGCUUCGUGGCUAUGUGGACAACCUGGAGAAGUCUGGAAACAAGCCAGAAGCCCGAAGCCAGCAGUAGAGCUCUGACUGGCUUGUAUGCCUAGAAAGGAAGGGCUCUUCUUUCGCCUCACGGGCACAAAUGGGACCCACGAGCGCCGAUUUCAGACUAUUCUGAUCCCUUCAAAAAGAAAGUUAGGAGUCCAGGCUACUUCACUUUGGUGAUAGUAAUCAAACCCUAAUCACGGUGCAGCCACAAGUCACAGAGACCGAAAUAGCAGACUUAUGACAGACAAGGAUGGAGACAGCUAAGGAACUGGCUAUUAAUCACCAGUCCCUCUGCUCACAGCCCAUUGGACCCGAGGGUGAAGGAUGAGGAGGAUGGAAGAAAAUGGGAGUGGCGCUUGCUGCAAAGGGUCUCGAAGGGUCUCAGCACCUGCGAACUGGCUCCAAUCCAAACUCCACUAUUCAUGGUCAAGUUCACAUAGGGCUUGGGGUUCUAACAAGAUGUGACUAAACUUACGUUUUCUAUCUUA